UGGAGCUAUUGAAGUUUGUAAAUAUUGUCCCAUGUACAUUGUGUAAUUUAUUGAUGGUCCCCAACUAGCCCCACGGGGAUAUCCAAAGUGAAACCAAAUUGACCAUGGUCAGUGUGCUGGGCAUUAUGGUCGGUCCCGUGCAGCUACACUCCGAAUUGGUGAUUACUUGGGUGCUGCCAGCUGUGGGCAGUAUUGAGAUAAACCCAACCCAAGGAAAACUGUUACGUACCCUUAAUUUCGUGACAGAUCAUUUUUUCCUCAUUGUCUCGCAAAUCUCUGUUUUGGACGAGACUGGCUUUAUGACCAAAAUAAUUAUAUUUACACUUUGUAGUCAAUUUUGACACUAGAAUAAAUGUUAUAAAAUAACUAACUUUUUCUCUGCGCAGUCUGUCAUGUUGUAGAGUCACUGGGAAAAGCUGUGCUUCUCUGGCUUCAGCUCUGAAGUCAAACCCCUCCCACCUGAGAGAGUGGGAUCUGAGUGAGAGUAAUCCAGGAGACUCCGGCGUGAGCCUGCUCUCUGCUGCACUCGGGUCCCCAAGGGACCACUCCUAACACUACACAGCUGAUUCAAAUAAUCCAAGCUUGAUGAUGAGUAUUUUUUGAAUCAGCUGUGUAGUGCUAGGGCAAAAACUCAAAAAACAUGCACCGAGUUUGGGAAACCCUGCACUAUAGGAUCCACUCUGUAAACUGGAGACACUGAGGUGAGCAUUGGCCCCAUUACAGCUCAAUGAUACGCAACACAUAAAAUUGUAGAUAUUUUGACAAUAAGGAACCUCUUGAGACGUGAUAUAAUGGCAUUCCUCAGAAAGUGACACACAUAGCAGACACAAAGAGCUUUCCUCCUUCUCCCCGCAAUAUAUCACGUUGUAGUGUCACAGAGGAAGGCUGUGCUUCUCUGGCUUCAGCUCUGAGGUCAAACCCCUCAAACCUGAGAGAGCUGGACCUGAGCUGCAAUUAUCCAGGUGACUCAGGAGUGAAACUGCUCUCUGCUGUACUGGAGGAUCCACACAAACUGAAGACACUGAGCUGAGUGUUGGGGCCAUAAUAGCACAACUGUGAAUAACUAUAGAAAAUCAUAGGUGAUCGUGUGUGCCUUGCCGUCAUUGUGUAGCGUAAUGUUGAAAUGUAUCUUUUUUUUGUCAAGGCUGAAUAUCUGUAAACUUACUGAGAACUGCUGUCAAGCUCUGGCUUCAGCUCUCAGCUCAAACUCCUCUAGUCUGAGAGAGCUUGACCGGAGUACAAAUAAGCUGCAGGAUUCAGGAGUGAAGCUGCUCUGUUCUGGACUGGGGAAUCCUCACUGUAAACUGGGGAUGCUAAAGCUGUCGGAGUGUGGAUUCACAGACAAAGGCUGUGCUUCUCUGGCUUCAGCUCUGAGGUCAAACCCCUCACACCUGAGAGAACUGAAUAUGAGCUGGAACUACCCAGGUGACUCAGGAGUGAAGCUGCUCCCUGCUUUACUGGAAGAUCCAUGCUGCAAACUGAAGACACUGAGAUUAAGUCCAUGGGCCAGAGAUUGGUGACAGAACUGGAGGACGGAACGGCAUCCCAGCCCAGCAGAGCGGAUGUGUAGUUACUGUUAUUGGGAAACUUGCUUUUCAGAGCUUCUUUCACUGUCCAAACACGAGAAAACAAAAUAGCCAAUAUGUGGCAGAUGUCCUGAAUAUCACAUCCCUAUUCUAAUAGUGUGUACUUAGCCUGGGGGGCGGGGGGAUAUAUAUCAAAAGGUGACCCUCACAUCUUUACCACACAGAAUACACCACUAGGGCCUGUAUUCAUAAAGCGCCUCAAUGAGUGCUGAUCUAGGAUCAGUUUUUCCUUUUAGGUAAUAAUGAAUAAGAUUACAUGGACAGGAGGGGACCUGACCCUAGAUCAGCACUCCUACUAGUACUCUGAGACACUAUGAAUACUGGCCCGGAUCUUCCUUAGCUUCAUCCAUCUCCAAAAGUAAUGAGGAUUCAACAACACCACAAUAUAACAAACACCUAAUGGUCAUAUGACCCAUUGUAUACUGUAAAAUACACUGAGUGUACAAAUCAUUAGGAACACCUGCUCUUUCAUGACAUCGAUAGACUGACCAGGUGAUCGCUUAUUGAUGUCACUUGUUAAAUCCACUUCAAAUCAGUGUAGAUGAAGGGGAAGAGACAAGUUAAAGAAUGACUUUCAAAGGCUUGAGAUUUAAGUGCCUUUGAACGGGGUAUGGUAGCAGGUGCAAGGCACACUAGUUUGAGUGUGUCAAGAACUGCAAGGC